GCUGGGUGUGGUGGUGCACACCUGUAGUCCCAGCUACUUGGGAGGCUGAGGCAAGAGGAUCACUUGAGCCCAGGAGUUUGAGGCUGCAGUAAGCUAUGAUUGUGCCACUGUAUUCUAGCCUGGACAACAGAGUAAGACCCUGUCUCUA
rfam:Gorilla gorilla gorilla genomic chromosome, chr9, whole genome shotgun sequence